AUUAGAGCCCGGCCUCCGGCUGGGGCCACCCAGGCAACCGAUAUACACAGAGAACCACGUGGAGGAAAAGCACGCGAGUUUGGAGCGGGUGGAGCAGGAACAGAGGUGGACUGGAAUGUCACACGACGGGGCAGCUGGAAGGCCAAGUUCCCACCUGGUGGGAAGCACUGUGCAGGUUCGUGGGGAUGCAGCCCUGCACAGCCCAGACUGGACUCCUUCCCCAUGGAACUCACAACACACGGGAGAGGCAGAGAGAUCCAAGCGCACAGAAAAACACAAGAAGAUUCAGCCCUGUCAUCUUGUGCAAAGAUGAGUCAGGAACUCCUGGAGUGAGAAGGGCUCAGGCCUCACCCAGCAGUGACCUCAGAGAGGGUGUGCAAGGUCAGAAGAGCCUCCAGCUGAGCUCAGCACUGUGACAACAGACUUUCCAAAAUAUGCUUAAGGGUCUGGCCGGGGCUGGACAUGCUCCAGCAGGUGUCAGGGAAGAAGAAUGAGCAAGCUGGCUGAGUCUGAGCCUGGCCCCGCCUAAUGUUGUCUCCUCCCUGAAGCCUCCCCUCCCUUCUGUGCUACCACAGUUCUUAGGUCUGUGGCGUCCUGAAGCCACUGGUGCCAUGUGAUGGUUUGCAUUUCAAUUAAUUAAAAUUACAUGAAAUGAAA
rnacentral:lncRNA from 1 species